GAAGGUACCAAUCUGAUUGCAGUAGGGUUCAACUUUGAUUCACAUGGUAAUACUAAUUUUGGCAUUCCAGAUUGAUGUUUGGUUCUUGAUGUAACAUUUUUGGCAUCUUUACUUACUUUCUAAGUGUUUAUGGUUUUGGUCUUUGGCAAUUCGUGUUGAUGUUGGAAUUUUGUUACUUAAGUGUUUAUGGUUUCCAUCUGUGGCAAUUUGCUAUAUGCUUCACAAAAUUUUCAUUUCUUAAUGGCAAUUAAUUGUUUGAGUCUUCACAUUUUCAAAAUUGGUUUUAGUGUAGA
rnacentral:lncRNA from 1 species